GACGAGCGCUGGCGGCGUGCUUAACACAUGCAAGUCGAACGGAAAGGCCCUGCUUUUGUGGGGUGCUCGAGUGGCGAACGGGUGAGUAACACGUGAGUAACCUGCCCUUGACUUUGGGAUAACUUCAGGAAACUGGGGCUAAUACCGGAUAGGAGCUCCUGCUGCAUGGUGGGGGUUGGAAAGUUUCGGCGGUUGGGGAUGGACUCGCGGCUUAUCAGCUUGUUGGUGGGGUAGUGGCUUACCAAGGCUUUGACGGGUAGCCGGCCUGAGAGGGUGACCGGCCACAUUGGGACUGAGAUACGGCCCAGACUCCUACGGGAGGCAGCAGUGGGGAAUAUUGCAAAAUGGGCGGAAGCCUGAUGCAGCAACGCCGCGUGCGGGAUGACGGCCUUCGGGUUGUCAACCGCUUUCGCCUGUGACGAAGCGUGAGUGACGGUAAUGGGUAAAGAAGCACCGGCUAACUACGUG
rnacentral:rRNA from 1 species